rnacentral:lncRNA from 13 species
UCGCGUUGUGUGCUUGCAUACUUGCAUUUAUCGGUGCACUCUGAAAGUAAUAAGUGUUUUAUAAACCGUUGUAAAUAUCGUAAACGAUGAAUUUUGACCAUUCGAGAAUUACUUUUCGAUUUAGGGAAUGUGGCUGGAAUGGGUCUUGAUGCUGCUGCGGACGUCAUAUUUGCAAAUAAACAAUAAGUAAUUUGGUCACCUAAGGGUCAACGUGGUGUUUCAACUAUGCUGAUGCACAUCGUGUCGUAAGCGUGCCAGUCUUGUCGGUAAACAGAUACUCAACCUGGCCAAGUUCUUCGUUCAAGUCUGAUGAAUUGGCAAUUGCUGGUUGAUCGUUUUUCUUAUCGUACAUGUCCAAGUCCCAGCCGAUGAAAAAGGAGCCGAGAAACUUUUGCAGUUCUGUUAACACAAAUACAUUUGCUGAAUAGAAAUAAAAAUAAUUUUAACAGUCAAACAGAAGGAAACUGUGAAGUAGGAUUGUCUUACCAGCGGUGGAGUACAAUGAUAUCGGC